rnacentral:rRNA from 1 species
UGACGGGCCCGCACAAGCAGCGGAGCGUGUGGUUUAAUUCGAUGUUACACGAAGAACCUUACCAGGGUUUGACAUGCAAGUGGUAGGAAGCCGAAAGGUGACCGACCUUCGGGAGCUUGCACAGGUGCUGCAUGGCUGUCGUCAGCUCGUGUCGUGAGAUGUUCGGUUAAGUCCGCUAACGAGCGCAACCCUCGCCGUGUGUUAUAAGUGUCACGCGGGACCGCCGGUCUUAAGCCGGAGGAAGGUGGGGAUGACGUCAAGUCAGCAUGGCCUUUAUGUCCUGGGCUACACACACGCUACAAUGGCCAGUACAAUUGGUAGCGAAGUCGCGAGGCGGAGCCAAUCCGUAAAAGCUGGCCUCAGUUCAGAUUGCAGGCUGCAACCCGCCUGCAUGAAGAUGGAGUUGCUAGUAACCGCAGGUCAGCAAUACUGCGGUGAAUACGUUCCCGGGCCUU